rnacentral:rRNA from 1 species
UGGGGGAUAUUGCACAAUGGGCGCAAGCCUGAUGCAGCGACGCCGCGUGAGGGAUGACGGCUUUCGGGUUGUAAAACCUCUUUCGCUACUGAACAAGGCCCUGCUUGUUGUGGGGUUGAGGGUAGGUGGAUAAGAAGCGCCGGCUAACUACGUGCCAGCAGCCGCGGUAAUACGUAGGGCGCGAGCGUUGUCCGGAAUUAUUGGGCGUAAAGAGCUCGUAGGCGGCUUGUCGCGUCUGCUGUGAAAACGCGGGGCUUAACUCCGCGCGUGCAGUGGGUACGGGCAGGCUAGAGUGUGGUAGGGGUGAUUGGAAUUCCUGGUGUAGCGGUGGAAUGCGCAGAUAUCAGGAGGAACACCGAUGGGCGAAGGCAGGUCACUGGGCCAUUACUGACGCUGAGGAGCGAAAGCAUGGGGAGCG